UACGAAGGGGGCUAGCGUUGUUCGGAUUUACUGGGCGUAAAGCGUGCGCAGGCGGUUGUGUAGACAGAUGUGAAAUCCCCGGGCUCAACCUGGGAACUGCAUUUGUGACUGCACAGCUGGAGUGCGGCAGAGGGGGAUGGAAUUCCGCGUGUAGCAGUGAAAUGCGUAGAUAUGCGGAGGAACACCGAUGGCGAAGGCAAUCCCCUGGGCCUGCACUGACGCUCCAUGCACGAAAGCGUGGGGAGCAAACAGG
rnacentral:rRNA from 1 species